UCCUUUUUUUCUCAUUCCAUCUGAUACUGCCAACAAAAUUCUCUCUCAGACUCGUGAACAAAAACCAUGAAAUGUCUGCAUCUUUUCUUCGAAUCACACUGGUACGUCAUUGCCUUCCAAGCUUGUUGUCUCAUUCUCGACUCAAAUCGGUGCUAGUUUGCUCCGAACAUCCGCUCCUUCUCCUCCGACGCCAUCAACACCUCCAGAAUCCCUCAUACACCAACCCUCUUAAUUUGCGAAUGUUCAUUCUCAUCCUCAUCGAUCUGUAAAUCCUCUGCACCAUCGCCUCUCUCACUACCUCUAACAACCGACCAUCGAAACUCUAACCCUAUAUCGACUCGAUCUAACCGCGACACUCACCGACACUUUCAUCUCCUCUACUCUCAUCAAAAUUAGCGAAAACCCUACACUUACAUUGGUUUAUCGAAUAGAAGAGCUUGUAGAAGAGAAAGGUGAUCAUGUAUCUAAGUUGCAGGAAAUGUCACAGUUGAUGAAGCUCUUGCAACCGAUGUUAGUCAAGCACCCCAAGAAAGUCCAAAAACGAGGGAACUUUUCAAUGAAGAUUUCGAGUCCGAGAGUGAGGAGCAAGUGUCAGAGAGAAGAUGAAUAUGAGUCGGAUGGGGCUCAAAUAAUGGAAGUAUGUGGAGAAUAUUAGAAGAAAAAUGUUGUGCUUGUUAAACUUAUUAUUAAUUUUUUAUAGACUUGUUGGAUGAUGAUUUUGUGUGCUUGUUAAACUUAUUCUUAAACUUUUAUGCUUAUUUUGGAUGAUAAAUGGUUGUACUUGUUAAACUUAUUAAGUUAUUAUUAAAAUUUUAUGCUUAUUUACUUA